UGAUCUGGAAGUCUUUGAUGGUGAUGAAUUAUACAGAUUGAGUAGCUUGAGUUACCUUCAGCUUACCCUGGAUCAUAGCACUUACGUGCAUAAGGAAGUUCAGAGAAUUAAAAAGGAACAUCCUGACGAUCCUUGUGCAGUAAUGAAUGAGAGAGUGAAAGGUUACUUGAAGGUUACUAGGGCUUUUGGAGUUGGCUUUCUCAAGCAGCCAAAAUGGAAUGAUUUACUCCUGGAAAUGUUUCAAAUUGACUACAUUGGAAACUCCCCUUACAUCACAUGUCAUCCAUCACUAUAUCACCAUAAAUUAAGCUCAAGAGACAGGUUUCUAAUACUGUCAUCUGACGGGUUAUACCAGUACUUCACCAAUGAAGAAGCAGUCUCAGAGGUUGAACUGUUCAUUUCUGCAUUUCCUGAGGGAGAUCCUGCCCAACAUCUAAUAGAGGAAGUUCUAUUUCGUGCAGCCAAAAGAGCUGGUAUUGACUUCCAUGAGUUGCUUGCCAUUCCACAAGGGGAUCGGCGCCGGUACCAUGAUGAUGUUUCUGUGAUAAUUAUUUCUUUGGAAGGCAGGAUUUGGCGUUCAUCUUUGUAAAUAUAGCAAAAGUUCCAUUAAUCGUAUUAGCCUUGGUAUUUCUCCUCAUUUUUGGCCUUGGAUCAUAAUAUACCAACUAGGUUUUAGAGAAAAGAAGUUGUUGCUGCAUAUAUCAAGUUUUUUUUAUACCGUAAAGGUUGUACAAAAAGUAUUCUUGUUCUAGUAAUUUAGCUAUCUCGUAAUGCAAGUCCUCCCUUAUAUUAUCAGGUGCAAUACAAUUGGCCGUGACUGGUAUU
rnacentral:misc_RNA from 1 species